GAAAAGCUCCUUCGGGAGCCGAGUACAGUGGCAAACGGGUGAGUAACGCGUGGAAAACCUGCCCUUCGGUUGGGGACAACAUCUCUAACGGGGUGCUAAUACCGAAUACGACCACGGAGUCGCAUGGCUCUGUGAUGAAAGGCGGCCUCUACUUGUAAGCCGUCGCCGAGGGAUGGUUCCGCGUCCCAUUAGCUGGUUGGUGAGGUAAUGGCUCACCAAGGCGAGGAUGGGUAGCCGGCCUUAGCGGGUGACCGGCCACACUGGGACUGAGAUACGGCCCAGACUUCUACGGGAGGCAGCAGUCGAGAGGCAUCCACAAUGGGGGAAACCCUGAUGGUGCGACGCCGCGUGGGCGAUGAAGGUCUUCGGAUCGUAAAGCCCUUUCAGCAAGGACGAUAAGGACGAGUGUUAAUAUCAUUCGACCCGAGACGGUACUUGCAUAAGAAGCUCCGGCUAACUCCGUGCCAGCAGCCGCGGUAAGACGGGGGGAGCAAGCGUUGUUCGGAAUUACUGGGCGUAAAGGGCGUCUAGGCGGACUUAUAAGUCAGAUGUGAAAUCCCCCGGCUCAACCGGGGAACUGCAUUUGAUACUGUAGGUCUUGAGUUCGGAAGAGGAAAGCGGAAUUCCUGGUGUAGCGGUGAAAUGCGUAGAUAUCAGGAAGAACACCGGUGGCGAAGGCGGCUUUCUGGUCCGUUACUGACGCUGAAGCGCGACAGUGUGGGGAGCGAACAGGAUUAGAUACCCUGGUAGUCC
rnacentral:rRNA from 1 species